rnacentral:rRNA from 1 species
GACGAACGCUGGCGGCGUGCCUAAUACAUGCAAGUAGGACGCAGUUGCGAACGGGUGAGUAACGCGUAGGUAACUACCUAUUAGAGGGGGAUAACUAUUGGAAACGAUAGCUAAUACCGCAUACUAGUAGAUGGACCUGCGUUGUAUUAGCUAGUAGGUAGGGUAAUGGCCUACCUAGGCAACGAUACAUAGCCGAACGGAGAAGGGUAUCGGCAAAACUGGGACUCAGAUACGGCCCAGAGUCCCAAGGGAGGUGGCCGUAGGGAAUUUUAGGCCAUGGGGGGAACCCUGAACGAGCCACGACGGGAAGGUGAUGAAGGUUAUCGGAUCGUAAAGCUCUGGUGUUAAGGAAGCGGUAAUUAACCAGAAAGGGACGGCUAACUACGUGCCAGCAGCCGCGGUAAUAC